rnacentral:rRNA from 1 species
AUGCUAGGACAACAUGCUGGUAGGAGGGUGUUCCUUCCUCGGAUACCUCUCUGCCCAACCGAUGACGAUAUAUUCCCUUUCAAGUUCAAGAGGAAGCAGUUCCCUAUUAGGCUCAGCUUUGCCAUGACAAUCAACAAGGCGCAAGGGCAGACCAUCCCAAUUGUCGGGGUGUACCUACCGGACCCGGUUUUCUCUCACGGUCAGCUCUACGUUGCAUUGUCUAGAGCCACAUCGAAGAGGAACAUCAAGAUUCUCGCCAUCAAGGACAAUGGCAAGGGUAAGGGCAAGGGUAAGGAAGAAAGCAAGAAUUCAAAGAAGCGAAAAAGAUCUGAGCUCUUAUUAACGACCAUGAAGAACAUAGUGUACAAGGAAGUCCUUAGCACAUGA